GACGAACGCUGGCGGUGUGCUUAACACAUGCAAGUGGAGCGACGAACCAGGGCUUGCCCUGGGGCAGAGCCGCGAACGGGUGAGUAACACGUGGGUAACCUACCCCGAUGACAGGGACAACCCGAGGAAACUCGGGCUAAUACCGGAUAUGUCCGACAUUCACGAGGAUGUCGAGCAAAGGAAGCUUCGGCCUCCGCAUUGGGACGGGCCCGCGGCCCAUUAGCUAGUUGGUGGGGUAAUGGCCUACCAAGGCUGCGAUGGGUAGCUGGUCUGAGAGGACGAUCAGCCACACUGGGACUGAGACACGGCCCAGACUCCUACGGGAGGCAGCAGUGGGGAAUCUUGCGCAAUGGGCGAAAGCCUGACGCAGCGACGCCGCGUGAGGGAAGAAGG
rnacentral:rRNA from 1 species